AUGUUGGAUUUAUCUGGAGGAAGGAAAGAUGGAUCAAAAGAACCAAUAGUGGAGAUGAGAACUGAGGAUGAAAGAAUCACUAAUCAUGAAGAUGGCAGCCCAGUAAAUGAACCAAAUGAAACCACACCACUAACAGAACCUGAGUAUAGAAAUAAAGUUCUGCCCAAGAGUACCUUUGUGUUGAAUGAAUUUAAGCACAAGUACUCCGACGAGGACACGCAGUCUCUGGCACUGCCAUAUUUUUGGGAGCACUUUGAUAAGGAUGGCUGGUCCCUGUGGUACUCUGAGUACCGCUUCCCUGAAGAGCUCACCCAGAAUUUUAUGAGUUGCAACCUCAUCACUGGAAUGUUCCAGUGGUUGGAAAAGCUGAAGAAUUCCUUUGCCCGUGUCAACCUCUUUGGCACCAACAAUAGCAGCUCCAUUUCUGGAGUCUGGGUCUUCCGGGGCCAGGAGCUUGCCUUUCCGCUGAGUCCAGAUUGGCAGGUGGACUACGAGUCAUAUACAUGGCGGAAACUGGAUCCUGGCAGUGAGGAGACUCAGACGCUGGUUCGAGAGUACUUCUCCUGGGAGGGGGCCUUCCAGCAUGUGGGCAAAGCCUAUACUCAGGGAAAGAUCUUCAAGUAAACAUCUCUUGCCAUCGCCUAACUGCCUGCACCUGCCCUUCAGGGAGAUGGGUAUCAUUAAAGGAAACCGAACGUUG